UCUUGAUGAAUCUCCCCCAUUGAGCCUGCCAGAGCCGCAGUGAUCUGUGUAAGAAACCUAUGGGCCCAGGCUGUUAGGGCCACCAAAUGAUAUUACAAAUACUGAGUGUCUGGUUAGGAGAAAUAAAUAUAAUGUACCCACAGGGAGUAGCGCCAUUUUAAUAAAAAUUGCCAAUAAUCCCUGAGAUAAGUCAUGCAGAAUAUGUUAAAAAGGUUUUUUGAUUUUCAGCCAAUCAGAAAGCAGCACGACUCAAAUAGAACUCCCGUGAGGUCACACAUGUGAUGUCAUCACCAUUGUCAUCAGUGAGGGGCCUAAACUGUAGGAACCUAGGAAUACACAUUCAUACCCGCCUGUGACUGAUGCACACCUUCCAGGCUGUGGGGCAGCACAUACACUGACACUUUGCCCAAAUUCUAGAGGUAACCUCCUUUAGUAUGCCCAGAGGAAGGGCAGUACAGUAGCCAUGGAUUCCCUACAGGUUUCCUCCCCUCUGGAGGUUUUUCCUGUCCUGAGUUAGUUACUGUCCGCUCUUUGUGAGUGAUGGAGGUUACAUAAAAUCCCUACACAAACAUUUUUGUAAAUAAUAAAUAAAGUUCCCUUUGUUUAAACUGUU